GAAAGAUGCCAUGGAGCCGCAAAAUGCUUCGUUCAUAACUACGAGGAACUGGCAUAGUAAAUAAAAUUGUACAGAUCUAAACUACCAAGAUCGUGCAUAUACUUGUCGGAUUGUGGAUGAGUAUGCUUGUGUGGUACCGUCAAAGAUCACCCAGGAGCAGGAAGCAGGAAAAAUAAAACCGCGCUGAACAAAACUGACGGGAUCAUGCUUCCUCCUACUAUUUGAUGGAGUCCCCUACAAGAGCAAUCAAGCGGAGUGGGAUUAACGGAAGUGAUUGCGAAGCAAUGGUCACACGCGAGAAGUCGAACAAUACACGGCCUGAUCAACAUCUUAUGGGUGCCAUCAAAGAAAGCAAAACGUAUGUAACUAAAAAUUCAUCCAUCUUAAAAUCUUAAAAUCUAAAAAUCUUAAAAUCUUAAAAUCUUAAAAUCUUAAAAUCUUAAAAUCUUAAAAUCUGAAAAUCUGAAA